AGUGAACGCUGGCGGUAGGCCUAACACAUGCAAGUCGAACGACAGCACAGUAAGAGCUUGCUCUUACGGGUGGCGAGUGGCGGACGGGUGAGGAAUACAUCGGAAUCUACUUUUUCGUGGGGGAUAACGUAGGGAAACUUACGCUAAUACCGCAUACGACCUACGGGUGAAAGCAGGAGAUCUUCGGACCUUGCGCGUCUCAUUGAGCCGAUGUCGGAUUAGCUAGUUGGCGGGGUAAAGGCUCACCAAGGCGACGAUCCGUAGCUGGUCUGAGAGGAUGAUCAGCCACACUGGAACUGAGACACGGUCCAGACUCCUACGGGAGGCAGCAGUAGGGAAUAUUGGACAAUGGGCGCAAGCCUGAUCCAGCCAUACCGCGUGGGUGAAGAAGGCCUUCGGGUUGUAAAGCCCUUUUGUUGGGAAAGAAAAGCAGCAUGUGAAUCUCCCGCUGUUCUGACGGUACCCAAAGAAUAAGCACCGGCUAACUUCGUG
rnacentral:rRNA from 1 species